UCCGUAGGUGAACCUGCGGAAGGAUCAUUAAUGAAUUUAUAAUCCGGCGAGACGAAGGACGAGGACUGUCGCUGGCCUUCAACCGAGGCAUGUGCACGCUCUCUUCUGGACUUUCGCCGUAUGGGCGCGGGGCGACCCGCGUCUUCAUAUACCUCUUCGUGUAGAAAGUCUUCGAAUGUUUUUACCAUCAUCGAGUCGCGACUUCUAGGAGACGCGAUUCUUUGAGACAAAAGUUAUCACAACUUUCAGCAAUGGAUCUCUUGGCUCUCGCAUCGAUGAAGAACGCAGCGAAUCGCGAUAUGUAAUGUGAAUUGCAGAUCUACAGUGAAUCAUCGAAUCUUUGAACGCACCUUGCGCUCCUCGGUGUUCCGAGGAGCAUGCCUGUUUGAGCGUCAGUAAAUUCUCAACCCCUCUCGAUUUGCUUCGAGUGGGGCUUGGAUAGUGGGGGCUGCCGGAGACCUGAAAUUCAUUUCGGGACUCGGGCUCCUCUGAAAUGCAUCGGCUUGCGGUCGACUUUCGACUUUGCGCGACAAAGCUUUCGGCGUGAUAAUGAUCGCCGUUCGCUGAAGCGCAUCAAUGAACGGUCCCGUGCCUCUAAUCAGUCGACGCCUUCUGGGGCGUCUUCCUUAUAGACGUUUGACCUCAAAUCAGGUAGGACUACCCGCUGAACUUAAGCAUAUCAUA
rnacentral:rRNA from 1 species